CCUAAAAUUGUGCCAUGGAGCUCUAAAUUAACGUGAAGAUGCGAUUAACGCAACCAUAUUAAGUAAAGACAGAGAAAGUUCAUCACCUAUAGGAGGAGAGUUACUAAUCAGUUUUCACUUUAUGGACAACGGCAGCAGGCUGGUGUAAAGGGAGAAAGCCCGCCGUCUCUGGAUGAAGCAGCUCAGAGCUGGGACGGUGGAGGAGGGAGCCUCCCCUCUGCUCUGGAGGGUCAGUCUGGAUACCGAGGACAGGGUCCUGUGUGGGUGGAGGAGCAGACAUUUCUGGACGGAGAACUGCGAGGCUGACUGUUGAAGAUUCCGGUGCAGAGCCCUCAAUACAGCAGUUUCAUUGUGACCGCUGUAACCCUCCUCCACCUCAGCCACAUCCAUUACACCUCAUCUGUAUCCAGGUCCAGGUCCUUAGAAGUCCACUCCACAUCCCUUCCUUUGGCACCUCCAAGACAUUUCAUCUGUGCCCAGGUCCGGCUCCUCUAUGGCAUCCUGCAUCCCUUCAUUGACAUCUCCAAGCCAUCUCAGCAGUGUCAGGGUUAAAGGGAUACUUCAACAUUUUGGCAAUUCAUAAUUCCUGUAGUCUUAGUAAUAGGUUCAUUUCCUUUAGUUGUCGGUGCAAGCUGUUUUUAGA